CCCCCUUUUAUCAUUUGCCGCCAAAUCCUUUGCUCUCAUUCGCUUCCUCAGAAUCUCCAUUUCCCUCUCUCGGCUUCUCCGUCUUCUUCGCAAUGUUAGCCAUGAAAGAUUCCGAGCUUCUGGACUUCACCGCUGACAAGGGCCAAACUUCAAGAAUUAGCUGAGUAUGUUCCAAAAGGUCAUAUUCCCCGGACAAUGACUGUUCAUCUCAGGGAUGAAUUAACAAGGAAAGUUAGUUUUCUUCUAGUGAUUUCUCACUGGUAGUUCUGAGGGUGACUAAGAUUUCUGUUUAGUGAGGCUUAUUGAUCUAAAGGAGGGUCUUCUUUAGUUUAAUUACAAAUAAACAAUCAGAAUCCUCAUGCGUGCUCUUAUGUAUGCUUGAAACUACAUUAAAAAUACAUCUUUUGCUUUCUUAUCCAUUUCUGUUAAAUCAAUCAGUAAGCUAUACAUUUAUAUUUCGAGAAUUCCUUCAGGUCUGUUUAUUAUGUAAGACUGCCGUUAUCAUCCAAAUUUCUACAAGAGAUCUUUCUAACAUAGAGCUAUUGAUUCCAUUUACCUUUUUAAUUAUGGAAGUCUCAGAUUCUAGUAGACCUGCGUAUUAAAUGCAAGUGUUAGGACCUAAUUCUUAGAGGAUCUCAAUAUCUUCAACUCUCACUUUUAAAUUUGUACUUGGGUCAGAGCUUACAUUUCAGCCGCAAAAAGAUUGUCUCCUUACGUUCCCAAGGAUCUGGAGGAGUACAUUGCCAGUGCCUAUUCCAGCAUCCGACAGGAAGAAGCUAAAUCUAACACUCCCCAGUCAUACACCACAGUGAGAACUCUACUGAGCAUUCUUCGGAUAUCAGCUGCUCUAGCAAGACUUAGAUUCUCUGAGACCGUGGCUCAGAGUGAUGUCGAUGAAGCUCUAAGGUUAAUGCAAAUGUCAAAAUUUUCCCUAUACUCAGACGACCGUCAAAAAUGGGUCUUGAUGCUAUCUCAGAUAUUUGUUCAAUCUUGCGUGAUGAAGCUGCCAGAACUAAUAAAAUGAAUGUGAGCUAUGCACACGCCCUUAACUGGAUUUCUCGGAAGGGAUACAGCGAAGCUCAAUUAAAAGAAUGUUUGGAGGAGUAUGCAGCCUUGAAUGUGUGGCAAAUACAUCCACACACCUUUGACAUUCGGUUUAUAGAUGCUUGAUGUGCUGUUAUUUGCAUUCUCGAGUUACUGACUGAGAGCUAAUUUAAACUGUCUUAGGAUGGGGCUUGAUACAUAAUCAUUUGGAAUACAGAGUAAAAUGCUCAAAAAUCUUGGAGGGCUUUAUGUUGUAUCUGUACUUAUAGUGUAGCUGUGGAUUCGCAGAUAACUGGAUUCUAAUUUUUAUAUCUUUUAAGGGAUUAUUUAUCCACAACCACUU